rnacentral:lncRNA from 10 species
UCACUCCACUGCCUCGGGGGUUCUGAUGAGUAAAGUCUGGGCAUGCUCACUUGGGAGCAGAGAACACUUGUUCUCUUCUGUGCUCUGAGAUUCACUGAGGAGCUCAACCUGGACAGCAUUGCCUGGGGCCGAGAGAAUGAGCAUCACUAAUGAUCCAUGAGCCUAUGAGUUAUAAAAAUCCAGAUUCUCCAACCUAGCCAUUUGACAGUUAACAUCUGAAAGACAUUUUUCAACUUGGAAAGACACCAUCAUCCUGGCUGAUAGCUGUAAAUUCCAGAAGACUGAGCAUGCCCCAUACUAUGAGUGAUGGCCAGAGACAGCCUUAAGAGUCUAUGAUACCAAGUACACUUUGCUUUUGGAAUUUGCAGACACUUGUGAUCAUGUGUGAAGAUGACUUAAAUGAUCAGAGUCCUUUUUACGCUGACCAUGUGUGACUGUCAUUUCAGCUAUAGCCACAGCUACUGCUUUCAGAACGGCCAGUUCAGUCAGCUCCUAGUUAGCAAGGAGGCAUCUGCCAUCAUUGGAGAGACAUGAGACACUCCAGGCAGGCUCUCCUGCCAGGAAUUAUUAACCCCAGAUCUGUCAUCCCACUAUCACAGCGUCAUCUCUCUACAUCUCAAAAGGCUUUCUCUCUGGAAGAAUCCAUUAAUAGGAUUUAAAUAUGCCUGGAGGGGUCUACAUCUUAUCAGAACCUACCUUGAUUGGCUAAUCAGUUGACAUCCUCUAGAAGCAUCCUGGUAAAAAGUAAAACACUUUCAGGAGCUGGAUCCAGGAGGGUAAGAGAGCAGGCAAUGAAGCCAACCAAUGGGGCUGUGUCCUGGUGUGGAUCUCCAAGCCCCCAGGGGCAUUAACCUUAUCUUGACUAUGAAGAGACAUUCAAUAAAAUCGAGUUAACCAUUUGUGCCUUUGUCCACAAGAUAAAACAGAAAAACUUCUGAGACCCAUUAAUGCCCAUAUUCUUCACAUGCCCACAUUAAGGAUUCCAGGAGCAGUCUGAGGCUUUCCAGAAAAAAUGAAAGGCCCGAUAAUUAAAUUGUUUGUCAUUAACCAUUAGUGAGUCACACAUUUAAAUCUAAUUAAAAAUCAGCUACUCUGCUUAAUAACCGUUGCAAAGGAGGUAACUGUUCAGCAAUUCUAAGCAUUUAACCUCCAUCUUUAGCAGGAAUACACUCUUACCAAGGGCUGAGCCAUCAGGG